AGAGCUUACGGUGGAUGCCUUGGCGCAACGUGCCGAUGAAGGACGCGGGACACUGCGAUAAGCCCCGGGGAGCCGUGAACAGGCUUUGAUCCGGGGAUUUCCGAAUGGGAAAACCCGCUGCGACGAUCUCGCAGCAUCGCCUUAUUGAAUAUAUAGAUUUGGCGAAGGGCACCUGGUGAACUGAAACAUCUUAGUAACCAGAGGAACAGAAAUCACAGAGAUUCCCUUAGUAGUGGCGAGCGAACGGGGAAUAGCCCAAACCUAAGAAGCUUGCUUCUUAGGGGUUGUAGGGUCUGGCACAUGGAAGUGAUCAAUCGUUGGAUUAGCAAAAUGGUGUGGGAUAGCCUACCAAAGAGGGUAAUAGUCCCGUAUGCGAAAAUCUAGCGACUUCCGUCAGAUACCUGAGUACUACUGGACUCGUGUAAUCCGGUAGGAAUCCGGGGAGACCACUCUCCAAGGCUAAAUACAUGUUGCGACCGAUAGUGAACAAGUACCGCGAGGGAAAGGUGAAAAGCACCCCGGUGAGGGGAGUGAAAUAGAUCCUGAAACCGUAAGCUUACAAGCAGUCGAAGGGCAAUGACGCGUCUGUGACCCUAGAGAUAGGCGCCGCGGCGUUAGGCCUAACGGCGUGCCUUUUGGAGAAUGAGUCUGCGAGUUAAUCUUUGUGGCUAGGUUAAGGGAGUAACACCCGAAGCCGUAGCGAAAGCGAGUCUGAAAUAGGCGUACAGUCGCAAGGAUUAGACACGAAACCUGGUGAGCUACCCAUGGCCAGGGUGAAGCGAGUCUAACCACUCGUGGAGGCCCGAACCUUUCAAUGUUGCAAAAUUGUGGGAUGAGCUGUGGGUAGGGGUGAUAUGCCAAACGAACUAGGAGAUAGCUUGUUCUCCCCGAAAUAGCUUUAGGGCUAGCGUCUUGCGUUUAGUAUUGGAGGUAGAGCACUGGAUGGGUGCGGGGGCUUACUGCUUACCAACCCCAACCAAACUCCGAAUGCCAAUACUCCAGAGCAAGGCAGUCGGACUACGGGAGAUGAGUUUCGUGGUCGAAAGGGAAAGAGCCCAGACCAUCGGCUAAGGUCCCUAAGUCAAAGCUAAGUGGGAAACGUUGUGAGAUUACUGAGACAACCAGGAGGUUUGCUUAGAAGCAGCCACCCUUUAAAGAGUGCGUAACAGCUCACUGGUCAAGUGAUCUUGCGCGGAAAAUGUAACGGGGCUAAGCUUUGUACCGAAGCCAUGGGUUCCAACGCAAGUUGGAGCUGUAGGGGAGCGUUCCAUCUGCAAUGAAGGUUGACUGUAAAGACAACUGGAGCGGGUGGAAGUGAGAAUGCAGACAUGAGUAGCGAAAAACAUGUGAGAAUCAUGUUCGCCGUAAAUCUAAGGUUUCCGACGGCAGGUCAAUCCGCGUCGGGUUAGUCGGUCCUUAGUCGAGGCCGCGAGGCGUAGGUGAUGGAUAUCCGGUCAACAUUCCGGAACUGUUCAGGAUGAGCGAUGAGGGGACGCAGCGAGGUAGGCCAGCCUGCGAUUGGUUGUGCAGGUGCCAAGCGUGUAGGCGUUGAGGCUCGAUGGUAAAUCCGCGAGCUGAGCUGAGGCGUGAUGGCGUGCCCUUGAGGCUGUAGUGGUUGAGCCUAGCUGCCGAGAAAAGCCCCUAAGCGUUGAAACUUGAACAACCGUACCGCAAACCGACUCAGGUAGAUGAGUAGAGAAUACUAAGGCGAUCGGGAGAACUUUCGUUAAGGAAUUAGGCAACUUAACCUCGUAACUUCGGGAAAAGAGGUGUCUUUAACUGUGAAGGAAUUUACUUCUGGAAGCAGUUUUAGAUCGCAGUGAACAGGCUCUGCUGACUGUUUAACAAAAACACAGGUCUCUGCUAAGUCGUAAGACGAUGUAUAGGGGCUGACGCCUGCCCGGUGCUGGAAGGUUAACGGGACGUGUUAGCGCAAGCGAAGCACUGAACCGAAGCCCCAGUGAACGGCGGCCGUAACUAUAACGGUCCUAAGGUAGCGAAAUUCCUUGUCGGGUAAGUUCCGACCCGCACGAACGGAGUAACAAGUGGAGCACUGUCUCAACGAAAGACCCGGUGAAAUUGAAAUACGAGUGAAGAUGCUCGUUACCCGCAUCAGGACAAAAAGACCCCGUGGAGCUUUACUGUAGUUUGGCAUUGAUUUGGGGUUUGAUCUGUGUAGCAUAGCUGGGAGACUUUGAAGCUGGGGCGCUAGCCUCGGUGGAGUCGACAGUGAAAUACCAGCCUGAUUAAAUUUCGUAUCUAACCCCACGCCGUAAACCGGGUGGGGAACCGUGCCAGAUAGGCAGUUUGACUGGGGCGGUCGCCUCAUAAAGAGUAACUGAGGCGCCCAAAGGUUCCCUCAGGCUGAAUGGAAACCAGCCGCAGAGUGU
rnacentral:rRNA from 1 species